rfam:Planctomycetes bacterium GWF2_41_51 gwf2_scaffold_5054, whole genome shotgun sequence.
GCGGGCGUAGCUUAAUGGUAAAGCUCCAGCCUUCCAAGCUGGUAAUGUGAGUUCGAUUCUCAUCGCCCGCU